GACGAACCGUGCGAACGUUGUUCGGAAUCACUGGGCUUAAAGGGCGCGUAGGCGGCUUGCCAAGUCAGUGGUGAAAUCCCGCAGCUUAACUGCGGAAGUGCCUUUGAUACUGGCGAGCUCGAGGGAGGUAGGGGUAUGUGGAACUUCUGGUGGAGCGGUGAAAUGCGUAGAUAUCUGAAGGAACAUCAGUGGCGAAAGCGACUUCCUGGACCAAUACUGACGCUCAGGUGCGAAAGCGUGGGGAGCAAACAGG
rnacentral:rRNA from 1 species